rnacentral:misc_RNA from 1 species
UCCAGAUGGAUCAAAAGGGAUUGUGAAAGUUAAGGGGCCGCAAGUAAUGAAAGGUUACUACAAGAAUCCAAUGGCGACAAAGCAAGUGUUGGAUGAGGAUGGUUGGCUAAACACUGGUGAUAUUGGUUGGAUUGCUCCUUACCAUUCAGUAGGACGAAGCCGUUGUUGUGGAGGUGUUAUUGUCCUUCAAGGGCGAGCUAAGGAUACCAUAG